UCUGGCACCUGGCUGUCACACAGCUCCGGGCGGGUGCUGCCCGGCCGCGCCGUGCCUUGAACUAGGAUGUUCCCGGGGUGCAGGUCGGCAUGGACAAAGUUGUCAACGAAGAUCUGGAGGACAGGUAAGUGUGAGAGCAGCUCGUUCCAAUCAAACCUGGUGACACCAAAAGCCCCCAGGCAAACGGCAGAGGGUUGUUUGUGGUCUGUUCUCUGUCAUUACCAGUGAUGGGGCAUCACCCUGGGCAGCACCACAGCAGGUGGCUUCUGCUGGAGACCAGCUCGGGUACUCAGGAAGUCAGCAGAGCUGUGUGAAGCAACCCAGUGUUUGCUAGAGGUCAGGUAGGACAGCCAGGAGUCCCAGCAGGGAAUGGCAGUGCCCUUUGGCAAUCAGCUCUAAAAUGGGGCACAGUGGUGGGCCUUAGCAAAGAGUAAUGCAGUAAGAAUAGGCUGUUUGCCAUUCAGUGACAAAGGUUACUGUGACUGGUUACGUUUGUCUAGUGCAGGACACCAACCCACAUAAUAACUCUAUUGAAAAGUAAGGAAAACAAGAGAAGAGGAAAUAAAUCUGUGUAGCCCUUCUCUGACUCUGCUAGUAGUUAGCACCAAAAAGGACUGGCAAGAGGACAAGAACCAAACAGUACUUCCAGCCCCCCACCCCCCUGCCACUACCCUCCUGGUAACCUGGGACUGUAGGACUUCCUGCCCCAAAGAGAUUAUCUUUGCAUUUAAUGGAUUUCUCCUAUGAAUUUUUUCAACUGCCAUGUAAAUAAUUAGAGCUGUGUGAAAAAAUAUGGUUUUGGUGUUGCCCGAAAAAAAUUACUUCUGCUAAUUUUAUGUCCUCCUUAUUGAGAAACCCUACACAACAGAUCCAUAUUCAUUCUCGUGCACUCAUGACUGCAUAAUCUUUGUCAUAAGCUACUCAUCUUUCUGCUUUCCAGAGUUAAGAGUCCAAAUUAUUUCACCAUUCUGGUAUGGAAGCCAUUCCACAUGAAUAAUCAUCCUAUCUGCCUUCCUCUGCACUUCUUCUAGUUCUAUUACAGCCCUUGCAAUGGAGGUUCCUGGGCAUCAACUACAGAGUACUCAAGAAAGAGGCCAAGUGCUCACUUCUGUACAGAGUUGUCUGCUACCUGUCUUCAGGGAUGCACUGCUUUCAAACCAAAAGAGUGGAAGAGACACUAAGGAAGGACAUCAAUCUCCUUAAGCAAAAAGGAAAAAAAGCAUUCUUCUGCCUUUGGUUCCUCCUUCUCAAAAAGAAACACCUCCUUGCCAUGGUCUCCCUGGGACUUUCUCACUGCUACCAUCGCACCCACACCCUGCAAUUCUUACCUCAAAUGUUUCCACUAGAACAUCUGCCGUUACCAAGGGCCAAAGGGGAGUUGGAAACUUCACAAAAUCGACAUCUAGGAAAUUCUGUCGGAAGCGCUCCAGAUUUCUGGCUUCAUAGCGUAAGUCAAUCUCAAGGGACAAAUGGAAAAGCAGGUUGGAAAUCAGAAUCACCUAGGAUUAGAUCUUCAGGAUCCUGUGUGAGCUGCAAUACUCAAUACCAACAAAACUAGUCAGAAAGCCAGAAUGGAAACAAAGGGUGGUGCUUUUUACACGCUCAUAGCCUCCCUGAUGGAAGAGGAGCAGACUGGACAAUGGAUGGUGCACAGCCAGGUCCCAGUCUUUGAAAUAUGGGUGCCUUACUAGAGGCAUGGUGUCUCAAAAUAGACCAGGACCAUGUUACAUUCAAAAAUACAAUAAGAUCCUAAACUGAAUCCUAUCCUGAAUGGAAGCUUGCUGUCCAAACAGCAAGGCAGGCAGACAGGAUAGAAGAACUGCAGCCACAGCCUCACUUCACAGAGAGGCAGCUGUAGCAGGAAGAAAUUUAAUGUAAUUCAUACAAAAUAAUCCACUAUGGCAAGUCCAGGCCCUGGUUCUUCAGUGAUCCAGUGUCUUGACACAAGGGCAUCUCUCCUGCUGUCUGCUACUGCUCAAGGAGGCAGGAUAACCUUGCCUCACCUCAUUUGUCUGGCAGUGGGGGAAUAUCCCAGGAAUACUUCCUUGUUCAUUCAAAGGGAAAAGGCUACAAUGAGCCUAUCAGACGUUCUCCUAACUCUCAGUCUUCUGCAAAUCCACCCAAGCUCUGCCAAACUGGCACGAAUGACCUCAAGUCACAUCUGACCAUAGUAACAGCUCCCAGCAUGGAUUUACUUUGCAGAGGUUUUGGAAUUGUAGAGAAUAAUUAAGGUUUUCAAAAGCUUGUUGCAGACUUCAGACUCUGCAAUCUAGACACAAAAAUGAAAUUAGCAGAUAAUGGCUCAUUUUAUAGAAACAUAAGCCUAAUUAAGCCUGCAGUGAGAUCUUUGUAAGUUUGAUAGUAGCAAUAUUCCAGGACUGUGUCUUUAGAAGACAUUAGUAAAUCAAGAUGUUUUCAGAUGUUUGCAAAAUUUUACUGACACUGUGAGUCUGAUGAUAAUACAGAGUAGAAUGUGUUAUUAACUUCUGUGAAAACAUUAUUUAUGCAUAUAUAUAUAUAUAUAUAUAUGUAAGUUCUAACAAACAUGACUAGUGAGUACAGACUGCAAACAUAUAUAUAGAAUUAUAGAAAAAGCCCACAUGCCUGAGUACUUGCUUGGAGAGAUUCUUUCCUAAAGAGAGGAGUCUCACCAGUGUUCACCUUCCACAAUGCUGCAAAAAGGACUCUGACUAUGGCUAGCUAGCUGUUCAGGCUGCCCACUAGAAAACACAUUCAAAGUCUAAACAUUAUUUUCAAAGUCCAAAAAAUAAUUUUAGAUCUAAUAAAGACUGUUUUUUCAUUGCUUUGCUACUUUGUGAGCGUAUAAGCUUUCCUACAGUAAUGUUAUGUGAUUUGAUUAGACUAAAGAACAGAAGUAAAGAACAAGCUAGCCUUUAUCUACCCAUUUUAAAUGUAGUGGUGUGAACAGAGUUAGAGCCAGCCAGAGCAAGAUAAAGGGCAGUUUUGUUUAGCUGGGGACCAUGGCCUGGCACAUACCUGCUGCAUCAUAAGCUUCUCAAACUCCUCCACUAUUUCUGUCAAACUGAGCCACUUGAACCCAGGGAGAAGCCCAAUGAUGCGGCUGCCCAUCUUCAUGAGAAACAGAUCCAUCUGGACUUGGUGGACCAGCCCAGGGUGCAGGACCUGCACAAGAACGAGCAGUGGCAGCAUCAACCCCCCAGACACUCCAUUGCAAUGACCUCAAGUAAUACAUUUCAAAUAUACAGAACCCAGCUUAUUAGGAUGGGAGGCAACCAGCUUCUUUGGCUAGCCCUCAGAAGAAUUCCCAUUUUGCCAUUGAGAAACAUUUUAUCAUUGUCAAAUUCAGUGUAUCAGUGCUGGAGACUACAGUUUCACCCAAAGACAUUUUGCACUACUUUCAGUCUUGCUCCAUCCCUUGUUAGUAUUUGAAGCUGCUCAAAUAUGAGGUUUCUUUAAAUAAACUUUGCUGGAACGCACUUCUA